AGCAGAGAUGCUUUAGUGCCUUCGGGAACUCUGAGACAGGUGCUGCAUGGCUGUCGUCAGCUCGUGUUGUGAAAUGUUGGGUUAAGUCCCGCAACGAGCGCAACCCUUAUCCUUUGUUGCCAGCACGUAAUGGUGGGAACUCAAAGGAGACUGCCGGUGAUAAACCGGAGGAAGGUGGGGAUGACGUCAAGUCAUCAUGGCCCUUACGAGUAGGGCUACACACGUGCUACAAUGGCGCAUACAAAGAGAAGCGACCUCGCGAGAGCAAGCGGACCUCAUAAAGUGCGUCGUAGUCCGGAUUGGAGUCUGCAACUCGACUCCAUGAAGUCGGAAUCGCUAGUAAUCGUAAAUCAGAAUGUUACGGUGAAUACGUUCCCGGGCCUUGUACACACCGCCCGUCACACCAUGGGAGUGGGUUGCAAAAGAAGUAGAUAGCUUAACCUUCGGGAGGGCGUUUACCACUUUGUGAUUCAUGACUGGGGUGAAGUCGUAACAAGGUAAGCGUAGUGCU
rnacentral:rRNA from 1 species